rnacentral:tRNA from 1 species
UCCGUCGUAGUCUAGGUGGUUAGGAUACGCGGCUUUCACCCGCGCGACCCGGGUUCGAGUCCCGGCGANUAGUCUAGGUGGUUAGGAUACGCGGCUUUCACCCGCGCGACCCGGGUUCGAGUCCCGGCGACGGAA